UUGUUAUCCUAAUUGGUUUUUAAUAUGGCUAAUCCCAUGGCCUAUAUUUCUUUUCUUCUUUCUUCUAUUUUUCUCUUAUCUUCACACGUUUUGACUCAUGAACUAUUUAAAGAGAUGAUGAUUUCAGAAAACCCUAUGAUGAUGAAUAUUGAUUGGUAUGAUCCUUCUGUCCGGAGAUAUAAGGUGCUACGACCACGUACGGGUCGAGUUCCUCCUUCUCCUCCUUGGUCGCAACGUUCUAAUCCUUGGCCUGAUCGUUCUUUUAGCUCGCCGCCGCUUCAUCCACGGCUAAAGAAGAAUAAACACAACGCCGCCUCUUCUCCACCACCAACUAAAAUGGAUUAGUAUACUCACUCACUUGGAUUUCAUUACAAUAAUGAUGGUUUUAUAUCAGAGGCAGAGAGCGAUACUGAAGAAUGAAGAUGGAAGCGUUACGAGGCAUUAUAUACAAAGAUAAAAAUAUAUAAUUACGGGACAAUAUGCAAUGCAAUUUGCAAGUUUAUAUAUGAUGUGAAUUUUAAAAAGUGUGCUUGGUCAUGAUAAGAAUUCUAAGUCUUUGGAUUAGUACCUGAUACAAAUACAAAUAAAAUAAUCAUUUGAUAAUACUC